rnacentral:tRNA from 1 species
CGGGGCGUAGCGCAGCCUGGUUAGCGCGCCUGCCUUGGGCGCAGGAGGUCGGCCGAUCAUAUCGGCUAGCCCCUACCA